rnacentral:lncRNA from 1 species
GGAGUGGGCAGCUUCGACCUUUCAGUAAACCUCAUUAUGUAAUCACAGAACUGACCUUCCUCAGUCUUGUUAUUUUGUAUGUGAAGAACAGAACUAGUUUUUUCACACUAGUUUCUCUACAAGGCCUUAGAUUUUCAUAGCUCACCUGAGAGUUUCCGACACUGAUAAAGUUUAACUGUUGAACUUACGGUCUAUCUGGUUUCAGGGCUGGGCUGCCAACCCUUCAGAAAACAGAGGCUCUAAGAGGAAAAGUCUUAAUUUGUGAUUUUAUGAUUGUGGUCUUCUCUCCAGAGGCAUUUUGUCCAUUCCUUACAAAGAAGACCCAGAGAAGGCUUCCCAGAGAUAUUUCAUGAGAGUGGUCAAUAAAUAAGGUAGACAGCAUUCAUAAUGGACAAUUCACACGUACUUUUCUCCAAAGCAUUUUGUUUGCCCUUUUAUGAGAUAACAUUGAGAAAUCUGGAUACUGAUAGUGACACAAGU